rnacentral:rRNA from 1 species
ACACGUACUGUGCGAACGUUAUUCGGAAUCACUGGGCUUAAAGGGUACGUAGGCGGCCUAUCAAGUCAGGUGUGAAAUCCCACGGCUCAACCGUGGAACUGCGCUUGAAACUGAUAGGCUUGAGAGAGACAGGGGUGUGUGGAACUUCUCGUGGAGCGGUGAAAUGUGUUGAUAUGAGAAGGAACACCGGUGGCGAAGGCGACACACUGGGUCUUUUCUGACGCUGAGGUACGAAAGCUAGGGGAGCGAACGGGAUUAGAAACCCUUGUAGUCC